ACUCUAUUCUUUCUCUUGAAUUUACAAUGCAUUCAACUUUCCACUUGCAGUCGCUUGAUGUUUAUAAGGCUGUAUGGAAUCUGUUGAAGGUGAGCCUGUUUCUGGUGCCUGCUUUUAGAAAUUAGCAUUUCACUCUUGAAAUGUGUUUUUCUGGUAUUGAUGGUGAGCUUGUUAAUGCUUAUGUUAUCUUUGCAGGACCCAACUGAGCAAACUGGCAUUGAUAACUUCAUGGUACAACAUCUUGAUGGAACAAUUAAUGAAUAGGGCUGGUGCAAGCAGAAGCUUGGUGCUAAUGAUAUAUUGGCACUAUCACUUGCUGUCUGUAAAGCAUGUGCUAGCGUGAAAAAGAUCCCUCUUUACCAGAUGGAUGUGGAGAGUACAGUGGGGGGAGAAGCGUUUUUCUCGGAUAGCGCCAACAAUUCCUACUAUCACUGAUGUAGUUACCAGUACUCAUCUGUUUGAUGUACUUACAGAUUCAACUGGAGGUCGGCUUUCUUUCUUUGUAUAUGAGAAGUACCUUGAUA